rnacentral:rRNA from 1 species
AACGAACGCUGGCGGCGUGGAUAAGACAUGCAAGUCGAACGGGAUUUUUUCCUGUAGCAAUACAGGAAAAAAUCUAGUGGCGAACGGGUGCGUAACACGUGAGCAACCUGCCGUGAAGUGGGGGAUAGCUCGCCGAAAGGCGAAUUAAUCCCGCAUGUGGCCAAGGAAGACAUCUUCCUGACGCCAAAGCCGGGGCAACCUGGCCCUUCCCGAGGGGCCCGCGGCCUAUCAGCCUGUUGGUGAGGUAACGGCUCACCAAGGCUAUGACGGGUAGCUGGUCUGAGAGGACGACCAGCCACACUGGAACUGAGACACGGUCCAGACACCUACGGGUGGCAGCAGUCGAGAAUUUUUCACAAUGGGGGAAACCCUGAUGGAGCGACGCCGCGUGGAGGAUGAAGGUUUUCGGAUUGUAAACUCCUGCCAUUAGAGAACAAGGCGCACGGUUUAACUGGCCGUGCGUUGAUAGUAUCUGAAGAGGAAGAGACGGCUAACUCUGUGCCAGCAGCCGCGGUAA